rnacentral:rRNA from 1 species
UACGUAGGGGGCAAGCGUUGUCCGGAUUCAUUGGGCGUAAAGAGCGUGUAGGCGGCCAGGUAGGUCGGUUGUGAAAACUGGAGGCUCAACCUUCAGAGGUCGACCGAAACCAUCUGGCUAGAGUCCGGGAGAGGAGAGUGGAAUUCCUGGUGUAGCGGUGAAAUGCGCAGAUAUCAGGAAGAACACCCGUGGCGAAAGCGGCUCUCUGGAACGGUACUGACGCUGAGACACGAAAGCGUGGGGAGCGAACAGG